GCGGUCAUAGCUCAGCUGGAUAGAGCAUCGGCCUACGAAGCCGGGGGUCGAAGGUUCGAAUCCUUCUGACCGCA
rnacentral:tRNA from 1 species